rfam:Octopus bimaculoides Scaffold64878_contig_50, whole genome shotgun sequence.
UUUACGGUCCUUUUCAGGGCCAUCCAUAUUCUCAAGAUUGUACUUU